CCUACGGGAGGCAGCAGUGAGGAAUAUUGGUCAAUGGCCGGAAGGCUGAACCAGCCAAGCCGCGUGAAGGACGAAGGUGCCAAGCAUUGUAAACUUCUUUUGUCAAGGGACAAAAUCAGGCUCGAGAGCCUGACCGAGGGUACUUUAAGAAAAAGCAUCGGCUAACUCCGUGCCAGCAGCCGCGGUAAUACGGAGGAUGCGAGCGUUAUCCGGAUUUAUUGGGGUUAAAGGGUGCGUAGGCGGACUGUUAAGUCAGCGGGAAAAGUCCGGGGCUCAACCCCGGCGAGCCGUUGAAACUGGCUGUCGUGAGUGGGCGAGAGGUAUGCGGAAUGCGUAGUGUAGCGGUGAAAUGCUUAGAUAUUACGCAGAACUCCGAUUGCGAAGGCAGCAUACCGGCGGCGAUCUGACGCUGAGGCACGAAAGCGUGGGUAUCGAACAGGAUUAGAUACCCCAGUAGUC
rnacentral:rRNA from 1 species